GCUUUAUAAUGAAAUAAUAUUUUAUAAAUAUAAUUUAUAAAAAUGAAAUAAAAUGACCUUAUUUUGUUGGGGCGACAUAGAUAUAAAUACAUUAUAUAACUGUCAAUAAGUAAUACAUGAAUUUAUGAGUAAGAAGAUGAUCCUUAUUUUAAAGAUUAAAAGACUAAGUU
rnacentral:rRNA from 1 species